CCGGGGGGCGCUAGAGCACUCCCGGGGGGCACUAGCCCACUCCCGGGGGUCGCUAGCCCACUCCUUGCCCCUGGGCCCCGAGGCCAUCGUCAACUUGCCGGUGGAGGACUUCAAGGCGGCGCUGGGGAGGGCCCGUCUGUCGGGCCCCGAGGUGGCCCUGGCCAGGGACAUCCGGCGUCGGGGCAAGAACAAAGUGGCCGCCCAAAAAUGCCGCCGCCGCAAACUGGAAGCCCUGGCGGGGCUGCGGGAGGAACUGGGCAGACUGGGCCGGGAGAGGGAGAGGCUGCUGCGGGCGCGGGGCCAGGCCGAGGCGGCCCUGGGGACCCUGCGCAGGGACCUGGCCGCCGUCACCGCCCAGGUGCUGGGGGCUCUCAAGGAGGGGGGUGGGCACCCGCUGCCCCCCGAGCUGCGCCCCGGGGGGGACGCGGGGGACACAGGGGGCUCGGGGGGCCAUUCUGUGCCCCACAGCACCCAUGGGUGACACCUGGACCCCAUGGGGACCCUUGGGUUCUCAGGGUGCCGUUCUGUACCCCACAGCACCCAUGGGUGACACCUAGAUCCCAUGGGGAGCAGGGGGACCCUUGGGUUCUAAGGGUGCCAUUCUGUACCCCACAGCACCCAUGGGUGACCCCUAGACCCCAAGGGGAGCAGGGGGACCCUUGGGUGCUCAGGGUACUAUUCUGCACCCCACAGCACCCAUAGGUGACCCCUGUACCCCAAAGGGAGAAGGUGGGCCUUUGGGUGUCCAUGGUGCCACCCUGCACCCCACAGCACCCAUGGGUGCCACCCUGCACCCUAAAGGGGAUCAGGGAGGGUUUGGCUGCUCCGGCUGCCAUCCUGCACCCCCAAAAAGCCCAAGGGCACCCAUGGGUGAUGUCUGCACCCCACGAGGAGCAGUGGGGCCCUUGGGUGCCAUCCUGUACCCCCACAGCCCCAUGGCACCCAUGGGUGCCCCCAAAAGCCCAGGGGACCAGCCACGUGCCUGCAACGGGUCCUGCACCCCCCGGUGUCCCCAGUGUCCCCCCGUGCUGUGCAUUGUCCCCCUGCCGCGGGUGACACCUUGGGGACACCCCGUCCAUGUCACCCUGUAAAUAGACAAUAAACCACCCUGGAAGGGGCCGUCA
rnacentral:lncRNA from 1 species